rnacentral:rRNA from 1 species
GAUGAACGCUGACAGAAUGCUUCACACAUGCAAGUCAACUGUGGCUUACGGGUGAGUAACUCGUAAAGAACUUACCUCACAGAUAGGGACAACAUUUGGAAACGAAUUCUCAUACCUGAUACUGUGAGAGAGCUUUGCGUCCCAUUAGCUAAUUUGAGCGGUAACGGCUCACCAAGUCGAUGAUGGGUAUCCGGCCUGAGAGUGUGAUAGGCCACAAGGGGACUGAGACACGACCCUUACUCCUACGGGAGGCAGAAGUGGGGAAUAGUGGACAAUGGACCAAAGUCUGAUCCAGCAAGUCUGGGUGCAAGAUGAAGUUUUCGGAAUGUAAAGUGCUUGCAGUUGGGAAGCGGUACCAACAGAAGAAGUGACGGCUAAAUACGUGCCAGCAGCCGCGGUAAUUC